ensembl:lncRNA
CGCUUCUGGAACGACACGGUUCAACCGCCUCUGUAGCCUGUUAGCCGACAACAACUACAAACAUUGAAGCUCUGUCGAUCAUAUUUGUGUAGCUACACAAAUAAGAACCCCAGUGAUUUACACACAGUUCUGUUAACGUAUCUACUAUCUCAUUUAAAUGUAAUUGGCUUUUUAUUACAUUUGCAAAUGUGUUACCGAGCCCAGAACUAGGCCAGUCGCUAAUGCUAAGUAGCUAGCUAGCUAACAUCCCUGACAAUGAGCUCACUAAGAUACUCUCCUCCUGCUAAUGAAGAGGAGAUCUGCUGGACGGAGAAAGCAGCUCUGGGGAUGAACAUUGUCAUUAAAGAAGAAGAAGAGGAGGAUAUUACAGUGAUAGGAACGGAAGAAGCUUGUCGAAUUAAAACGGAGGAAGAGGAGGAAGGGAUAGAGGCAGUCACAGUGAAAGAGGAAGAGGGGAUGGAGGUUGUCAUAGUGGAAGAAGAGGUAGAAGCUUUCAGAAUGAAAGAUGAGAUAGAGGAGGAUAUCACAUUGAAAGAAGAAGAACCUUUUGUGGUGAAAGAGGAGGAGACUGAAGAUCCGAUUAACACCAAUCCAAAAACGAGGCCAUAUGCAGUUUCCUGGCCCUCCCAGGGCUCUACAGUGAAGGAGGACAUCAGAAAGAUGCAGGAAGAAUCUAAUGUGACACCCGUGAGUCCCAGACAGUUUGGUGGUGGUGACGAUUCUAUUCACUGCGACAAAGAAUGCGACGUGAAAGACAAGGAUUGGUUUCCUAGCAACAGGCUGAAGGCGGAGUCGGCUCCAGAGAGCCACACCCCAGAGCAGAGGGGGAGUGGUCAGGAGGUCCAGAGAAUGAGGAAUCAAGGAGGGUGUGUUUCUGAUCUGAGGUUCCUCCUCUUGGACUUUCUCCUCCACAACAUUUAUAGCAGG